GUAGUCGAUGGAAAACAGGUUAAUAUUCCUGUACCUCACAUAACUGCGAUGGGGCGACGGAGUAGGCUAGGUUAGCCGGAGAUUGGUUGUUCCGGUUUAAGCGAGUAGAAAGAGUUCUUUGGAAAAUCCGGGAACUUAAUUUUGAGACGUGAUGACGAGUCACUUAAUUGUGAUGAAGUAAUCGAUGCCACACUUCCAAGAAAAACCUCUAAGCUUCAGGUUAUGAGAGACCGUACCCCAAACCGACACAGGUGGGUGGGAUGAGAAUUCUAAGGCGCUUGAGAGA
rnacentral:rRNA from 1 species